AUACUUACCUGGCAUAGAGGACACCGUGAACAUGCAGGUGGUUCCCCAGGGCGAGGUUGCUCCAUUGCACUCCGGAGUGGUUGACCCUUGCGAUUAUUUUUAUUUUUAUAAAAAAAAAAUAUAAUGAAAAAUGUAUACCCGAAUAAUUAUUUUCUUUAUA